AGAGUUUGAUCAUGGCUCAGGAUGAACGCUGGCGGUAUGCUUAACACAUGCAAGUCGAACGAAAGUUAAAUUUUUAACUUUAGUGGCGAACGGGUGCGUAAUACGUGAGAAUCUGCCCUUAGGAGAAGAAUAACUGCUGGAAACGGCUGCUAAAUCUUCAUAUGUCGAGAGAUGAAAUAGCUUAGGCUGCCUAAGGAUGAGCUCGCGCCUGAUUAGCUAGUUGGUAAGGUAACGGCUUACCAAGGCCACGAUCAGUAGCUGGUUUGAGAGAACGAUCAGCCACACUGGGACUGAGACACGGCCCAGACUCCUCCGGGAGGCAGCAGUGAGGAAUUUUCCGCAAUGGGCGAAAGCCUGACGGAGCAAUACCGCGUGAGGGAUGAAGGAUUUUGGUCUGUAAACCUCUUUUCUCAAGAAAGAAGUCCUGACGGUACUUGAAGAAUAAGCAUCGGCUAACUCCGUGCCAGCAGCCGCGGUAAUACGGGGGAUGCAAGCGUUAUCCGGAAUCAUUGGGCGUAAAGCGCCUGUAGGUUGUUUAAUAAGUCUGUUGUUAAAGACUAGGGCUUAACCCUAGAAAAGCAAUGGAAACUACUAGACUAGAGUAUGGCAGGGGUAGAGGGAAUUUCUAGUGUAGCGGUGAAAUGCGUAGAUAUUAGAAAGAACACCAGUGGCGAAGGCGCUCUACUGGACCAUUACUGACACUCAGAGGCGAAAGCUAGGGUAGCAAAAGGGAUUAGAUACCCCUGUAGUCCUAGCCGUAAACGAUGGAUACUAGAUGUUGUGUUUUAUAUACAGUAUCGUAGCUAACGCGUUAAGUAUCCCGCCUGGGGAGUACGCUCGCAAGGGUGAAACUCAAAGGAAUUGACGGGGGCCCGCACAAGCGG
rnacentral:rRNA from 1 species